UAGCAGUGAGGUCAAGGAAGAGGAAGC
rnacentral:piRNA from 1 species